GCCAACAUGAUACGUCGGGGCAUUCCCCGGUGAAUAAAUAUAAGUGAUCUCGGGGCAUUUCCCGGCUACAUAAAUACAUCUGAAUUAAACACGAUAAUCUAGAAAGAGAUAUUCACACGCACAUUCCAACAUCCAAUGAAACACUUAUUCCUAAAUUUCGCCUACCCAACCUACGUUUGCCUACCCGCUCGACAACAUACCGCAUUCAACAUCGACAAUGUAUCAAAAAUAUCAUAAUAUUUACUUUUAUCAAUUUUUCGAUUCCCGUCCCAAAUUUAUUUCAAACAAUAUGAUUAAACAUGCUUCGAUUUAUCAAUUCACUUUUCAAAGUCCGAAACCAACAUCAACCAACACAUAACACGUAUUCGAACAUACCAAACACGCAACAAAUAAAUCAUCCACACCCACAACAUCAUAAAAAAGUCAAAAUAAAUUAAAGAUUCGGUUAGAAGAAAUGGACCUCGAUGAAAUUAAUCUAUGUCGAUAAUAAAGAAAUUCGAAGACCAAAAUACUCGAUCGGAGAACCUCGAUUGCGAUGAAUCCAACUCGAAAUCC
rnacentral:lncRNA from 1 species